rnacentral:tRNA from 1 species
GACACCGUGGCCGAGUGGCGAGGCGCGCGCCUGCAAAGUGCACAGACGGCGGUUCGAAUUGCCCGGUGUCU